CUCGACAUACUCUCAACGUCGUCGCCGUCCGCCCACGCUCACCACCGCAGCUUGUAUGGAUACUCCAACGAUUCUCUAACGUGAUACAACAAUGGUUGAAGAUGAAAACAAAUGUAUAGCCCUUGACCUUGAAGACGAGGACCAUGGUUUACUAUCUACGAUAAGUUUUUUCUCUCAGGCAUCCGAGCAUGAGAAGAAUGUUGAUGAGCCUAUUGGCAUUGAAAAUGGUGAAGGUAAUUUUGUUGUUGAUCCAUAUAUCGGAAUGGAGUUCUCUACUCAUGAAGAAGCAUAUAAUUUCUACAAUGCAUACGCCAGACUUAAGGGAUUUGGUGUUCGCAAGGGUCACACAACUUGGUCGAGAAAGAAAGAUACAAUCAUAUCUAGAAUAUUUGUAUGUGACAAUGAAGGCUUUAAAUUUUUAAA